GCGCGAAACCUCUGCAAUGCGGGAAACCGUGACAGGGGGAUCCCAAGUGCUCAUGCAUUGCAUGGGCUGUUCUUUGGUCUAAGUAACCAGAGGAGUAAGGGCUGGGCAAGACCGGUGCCAGCCGCCGCGGUAAUACCGGCAGCUCAAGUGGUAGCCGCGAUUAUUGGGCCUAAAACGUUCGUAGCCGGAUAAGUAAGUCUUUGGUUAAAUCCUGCGACUCAACCGUGGGAAUUCUAGAGAUACUGCUUGUCUUGAGACCGGGAGAGGUUGGAGGUACUCCUAGGGUAGGGGUGAAAUCCUGUAAUCCUAGGGGGACCACCUGUGGCGAAGGCGUCCAACUGGAACGGGUCUGACGGUGAGGGACGAAACCUAGGGGAGCGAGCCGGAUUAGAAACCCGGG
rnacentral:rRNA from 1 species